rnacentral:rRNA from 1 species
AAUCAACGCUGGCGGCGUGCCUAACACAUGCAAGUCGCACGAGAAAGGGACUUCGGUCCUGAGUACAGUGGCGCACGGGUGAGUAACACGUGAAUCAUCUACCUUCGAGUGGGGAAUAACUGAGAGAAAUCUUAGCUAAUACCGCAUAAUACCUACGGGUCAAAGCAGCAAUGCGCUUGAAGAGGAGUUCGCGGCAGAUUAGUUAGUUGGCAGGGUAAUGGCCUACCAAGACGAUGAUCUGUAUCCGGCCUGAGAGGGCGCACGGACACACUGGAACUGAAACACGGUCCAGACUCCUACGGGAGGCAGCAGUGGGGAAUUUUGCGCAAUGGGGGAAACCCUGACGCAGCAACGCCGCGUGGAGGAUGAAAUCCCUUGGGAUGUAAACUCCUUUCGAUCGGGAAGAUAAUGACGGUACCGAGAGAAGAAGCCCCCGGCUAACUUCGUGCCAGCAGCCGCGGUAAU